GGACUGUAGUUAACGAUUCGAGUAAAUGUAACUUGGAUCGGUUGAAAAAAUUCCUUCCCCUCCCUGGCUGUGGCUGGCUGGGUGGUUACCUGGCACUGACAAGAACAUGGUCGCCCUUUCAAUACUGUCCACUGCCGAAAGUUGCAACCAACUUUAUUACCGGCACGUGUCCUUAACUUAUAAUUGCUACCUAUUUUCUGCAAUUUAAAAAAAAAAAAAGGAAAGGAGAUUAUUUCUUCGCAAAAAGCUGAGUCAUUUUUAUUUUCUCUCUUUCUUCUGUAGUUUGUCCCUCCAUUUUCAGUCUCUGAGAGAGACUCUCUGUCUGACUCCGACUCACCUGUGGGCUGUUCUGUGCCUUUAUCUCCUUUCCUUUUCAAGUUCUUAAUUUUUCUCUCUUUUUUUUCUGACCACCAUUAAAGUACCGAUCGCUAAGUAACUCCGUUACCUGUAAGUUCUUCCAUUUCUUUCUUCUUUUUUUUUUCAAAUUUUUUUUUUACUAAACCCUUUAAAGAAAGAAAGAAAGAAAAAGAGAGACUUUUUUUUAGGAUUAAUAAAGAGGGUAAUAAUGAGGUACCGGAAUUUCUAAAAAUGGGGAAACAUCCCUUGUUUUUGCGGCUCAGAUUCAAACAUCAUUUUCUAAUCACCUUCUAUUAUUAUUUUUUUUUACGUUAAUUUGUUCUAACUUUUGAAAAGGUAAAAAAUUAAAAAUAAUAAUAAUAAAAGAUGCUUUUUUUUCUCGUUAUUGUUCCUUUCCUUGUCUUGAUUUCUGGCGAAAUGAAAGAAAACGACUACGUUUUUUUUUUGUUAAAAGGGUUCCUUUUUAUUUUUAGCCUUAUAUAUCUGGCUGAAAUUUAGGUAGAAUUUAUCAAAUCUUUAAAAGGAAUAAUAAUAUGAUGAGCUAUACCUUGGAAGGGGACCGGAUACUUUGUAAAAGUUUAUUCUUUCAUGAUUUCUAUAAAUAUUUUCCCGUAAAAAAGACAAAUUUUAGUUUAUUUGUUUGUUCUGUUUAUGUUUCAGUUCAAAACUACAAACUUUUUUUUUUUUAUGGAGAAUAAAUUUAUGAGUAGAAUUUAUUUCUUUGGUUGCAUUUGUGAUAUUUGUUGAUUGAUUCUAAUGCAUUCUGUGGGGUAAAAGAAGAGGUAGCUGAGAUAGAUUCUUUCUUUAAGGCGGUAAACUGUUGAAUUUGUGGUAGAUUAGGAUUUCGUUGCAUUUAUUUUACAGUAGUUGAUCGGUGGGUCUCAGUCAGGGACCUACUUUCAUGGAUUGCCCAGAUAAUUGAAUGUGAAUUAUUGAAGGUGUUAAGGUUUUUAGAGUGCGGUAAAGCGAGUGAAAUUAAAACGUGAAUGUUCUUUUUUCUUUUUUUUACUCCCUCUACAUGAAAACUGUUACUGCUUCCUAUAAUUAUUGAGGAGGAGAGAGAGAGAGAGAGAGAGAGAGAGAGAGAGCUUCUUGUUGAUGCUGCCAAACCGUAGUUAGUUUCAGAUGUGUUGAUAGAUAAGGGUAAAUUCUUCUAGGAUUUUGGUGGUGGAAUUCGGUGCAAGUGUUGCAGGUUUAAGGAACACAUAUUUUGACUUGGGAUUGAAGUGAUACUUUUUAUCUUGAUGGUGUAGGCUUACAUACAUAAAUACAUACAAGAGCGAAUAGAGAGAUCAUUUGGAGUUAUGCUGUCAGCUUGUUGGUGUAGGCGAUAGUGAAAGGAGGAGAAAAGCUGUACUGCUAUUCUUGUUCUGUGUUCACAAGGCCUAAUCUAUGAUCUUUUUGAUGUCUUUACCUAAGUCGUCUGUUUUAGAAGGAUGGAGAUUGAUAUAUGCAUAAAAAUUGCUUGUCUUGAGAAGUGGUUGCUUGUUUAGUUAAACAUCUCUGCUACUCUGGUCGCGAUUAUUGACUGAAGCUGAUUCCAAGUGGCAUCAGCAAGCCUUUUUAGUUUAAAAUUGAUAUAAGGAGUGAAUGAACUAUUGUUUUGUUAAAGUGGAUUGACAAUUUCCUAAGUGGUACCCCUCUAGAUCUGAGAAACAGAGAUGCUUGGGCUCUGAGCUGUGAGAUUUAGAGUUAACUUUUGUUCUUGAUAUGCCAGGAUUAAUUUUGCUUACCUGUUGUUUUGCAUGCUAUGUAUUUAUAUAGAGUCCAUGAAUGGUUUCCUUCAUAUAUAGCGUUACUGUAUUUAGGAUGACUGAAAAAUUUUUCUGAUUUAUUUCGUCUGUGAAUUGAACAAGCCUCAAGGUUAUAUUUUCAGGAUCUGGUGACAAGUUGCUUGGGUUUUAUAUGAAGAAGAUUGUGUUAAGUGUUCUAUGAGUUCUAUCUCUCUGAUGGAGUGGAAUGCCAAAACGCCCUUGCAAUGGGACUGGGAAAACUUAAUGAUGUUCAAUGUGACACCAACUGAAAUUCCAAGGAAGCUAAGACCGGUAGAGUGGGAUAUUGAUGGAGAGGGAGGAAUUGACUCUGGGUCUCUCUAUUCUUCAGGUGCUGCUGGAGGCAGUGGUGGUUCUGGUUCAGAUUUGGGCCUUGCUUCUUUGUCUAAAAGCUCGAAAUCGGCAUCGAUUAAUUCUUCAUCUAUGGGGGAGGUAAAGACAGCCAAAUUUACUUUGGAAGCCUUUGAAGCUAUCCCAGAUGAUAUAAUCAACAAGAAAGAACUUUCCAAGGUUGAGCUAACUGGUUCUUCCCCAACACUUGAGGCAUCAGUUGGCUCUGGUGAGCCAUUGCUCAGUUUAAAGCUUGGUAAACGAACAUACUUUGAAGAUGUUUCCGCCGGAAGCAAUGCUAAGACUUCAUCUUAUUCAGCCGCUCCUGAACCAUCUCCAACCUCAACAAAGAGAUCUAAACCCAAUUGUCAGAGCACACAUGUUCCACGCUGCCAAGUUGAAGGCUGUAAUCUUGACCUAUCUUCUGCUAAGGAUUACCAUAAGAAACACAGAGUUUGUGAAAGCCAUUCAAAGAGUCCAAAGGUCAUUGUAGGUGGUCUGGAACGCCGGUUCUGUCAGCAGUGUAGCAGGUUCCAUGGCCUGUCGGAGUUUGAUCAAAAGAAGCGAAGCUGUCGUCGGCGUCUUUCUGACCACAAUGCAAGGCGCCGCAAACCACAGACAGAAGCAAUCCAUUUCAAUCCUGCAAGUCUUUCAUCUUCAUCAUAUGAUGGGAAGCAACAGAUGAGUUUCGUCUGGAAUAAAGUGCCAUUUCUUCAUAAUGCUAGACCCAAUGAAAAUUUUACAUGGGAAGGCACAUUUGACUCCAAGUCUUCUCAAAUGAAAGGUUAUACACCUACAAAAGCUGGAAAUGUUAAUGGACAGCUGCAGCUGCCAGGCAAUCAGCUGUUGAAUUCCAUCACAAUGCGAUGUCACGAUUCCAAUAGAUUGCUGCCCUCCAAGGGCAAGCACAACACAGCUGAGGUUCUCAACCAAGGUGUAGAAGAAUCCACGGUAGCUUCAAAUAUGGGUACGAGGCAAGAUUUUCAUCGUGCUCUCUCUCUUCUGUCAAAUGAUUCCUGGGUUUCUUGUGAGCCAAAACAUGCUUCACUUGCCUACUCCAUGCAUGCUAAUCCUACCAGUGUGUCUCAGCCAGAAAUGAAUGCAAUUUCACAAGGUUUUUCACGUGCCUUAUCUGAAAACUGGCAGAUGGAACAACAGGCCACUGAAUCCCAAGUGCAUACAACCUUGCAUGGUGAUGGUAACAACCAUUUUCAAGAGUUCCAGCUGCUCAAGGCUCCAUAUGAUUGUGACUUUUAUUCCAAUCAGAUGAACUGACUGCUCAAGAUCAGUCAACUUUGUUCAACUUGAUAAGUUUACGUGUUAAGAUAUGUAAGUUUUAACAACCAAUCUAGUAUCCCCUUUUCCCAUAGUUUUGAAUUUCUGAUCCCGUUGAAAUUAAAUGACUCUUCAAACAUUGUGUGAAGCACAAAUACGGGUACACAUAAAUUCAAGCCCGAGGUACAUUUAUAUUGAUAAAAUCAUUUACUUAAGAAUUCUAGAUAUGAGUCCGUCAUAAUUGUUAAUUCGUUCAAGUUCUUAGGUCCAGUUUAUUGACGUUUUGAAACCUUCAAACCAGAACACAUCAGAUAAAGAAAUAGUCCAAAAUGUAGUAGGUCGUCUCUACUAAGUCUAUAAAUGAUAGCUGUGAAGAAUGUUAGUGACUGGAGGUUAAAAAGCCCGGUAUCUACAUGCCUGCUGCGAAGUUGAUUAUUAAUUCAAGAUAGUUGCUUGGUGGAACUGCUCUCCUUAUCGCCUCAGAGGCCCGGUUAAUUUCGGGUAGGAUAGGAUGUGGGCAGAGAGUUGCUUAGUUGAUGAUGGGACGAAGAGAGUACAUUACAUCGGACACUGCUAACCUUGAGAAAUGAGAAAGGAGAUGUUUGUAACUAUUGACUUGUCUGUUUGUUGCUUCUGGCGGUGGAAAUAUAAUGUUCAGUUGAUAGAGGCACCACGUGACCAACAGGCUGUUUUUUAGACCAUAGAGUAUCGUUUUUCAUUAACCAGCUAACCAGUGGAUGUAUGCAAGCAUGAAUUCAUAAGGAUGACUAUGGAUGGCAAAUUUCUCUGAAUUCAUUGGAUUCGGAUCCAAUCUGAACCUAUAAAUUCGAUUUUUUUUAAAUCAAAUUUUAAAUCAAAUC